AUCCCCCAAAUCAAGGGGGGGAUGAGAACCACCGACCGGGGUUCGACAACUGGCGCAGCCAGUUGGACAGACGACGAGCUUGCGAGGAGACUGCCCGAAGGGCGAGCGCAGCGAGUCAAUCCCCCCCUCACCGCCA
rnacentral:sRNA from 1 species